UUGCAUGUGAACUUUAUGGAAUAGUGUACAUGAAAUGGGCGGCUAGUAGAAUACCUUGGUUACAAGAUCAAAUGUCAGUAGUGCAGGAGGUCAUGUGGGAUUUGGGCGGUCAUCUAUUCUGAUUGGUGGGGUUGGGCGGCCCAAGGAAGGGCAGUUGCUGUUGUAUCGGCCCACUAGCAAUUGAGGGCCCAUCGGAUUAUUUUUUAAGAAUUAAUAUUGUUGCCAUUGUGUUGGGAUGAAAAUAAAAUACCGGCGAAUCACCAGUUGACGAAACCGACUUGGCGAAACAAAGGUGUUUCGUCAAGACCCAUUACGACGAAACGACCUUGGCAAAACAGAAGUGUUUCGUCGGAGAGGGGUCACGGCGAAAUAGGGGGCGUUUCGCCAAUAGGUUAAUCUGCACAGUAACUUGGUUAAUUUCUGUUAGAAGUUAACUGGGAUGAUUAACAACUGUAAGCUAAUACGCAUGACUUAUAUGAUUCAGAAUACGUGCUAUGUGCUGCUUGGUAAUUGUUUAUGUGUUAUUUUAUACGAUGGUAUGUGCUUCGAGAAUAUAAACUGAUUACGUAUACAUGCACUCUAGGACUUGAUUGAUUAACUGUGAGCACAUAACUUAGCAUACCGAGCAAACCAAGGUGAGUUCACACAGCCAAGGCAUGGGGUUCCCAGGGUGGGAAUGGGUUUGGAUUAUUUACUUGUACUUACCUAGCUUAUGGAACUUAGUUAUAUGGACCUCGGGUGAGGAAGGGUGAUUGAUAAGAUACGACUAGACUAGUGAUACUAAUAGAACUGAUAUUCGCACACACGCCGGGGUCGGCCGCGAUAAUAUGACUAAUCAUCGCACACAUGCCUAGGAAGGCUGCGAACUAUACACUAAACUUCGCACACAUGCCGGGUGGCCGCGAUACAAAUAUACCUAGUCUAGAAUACUUGGGAAACUUCACCUAAUCUUCACAUACAUGCCUAGAUGGCCGCGAUACGAACUAAGACGAUACAUGACUUAGCGAACGAACACAAGGCUUACUAUACUAUUACAAUUACUGAACUAUUAAAUGUGAACUCGCUACACUAGUUGUUGACUCUCUGUUACAUGCCUUGCAGCACCUUAGGUACUUAUGGAGCUUGCACAGGGAGGAGCAGGUCGUUGUAGGACAUGGAUCGAGGAUGCCAUGUUAAACGUUUUAAACAUUUGAACUUAUGAUUUUCAUUGGGUUUACAUACUUAUGCUUCCGCUACUUAAAUUAUGUUUUUAUUGAACUCCAGUUAUAUUGUGAUGGGUUGUAAUGAUUACUUUUAACAUUUAAAUGCUAUGUUCAAUAUGAUUGGUGGCUUGAUCCUGGUCAGUCACGCUCCCAAGCGGUGAUACUCCGCGUGUGGAUUUUGGGGGUGUGACACUGCUCAAGCUCUCUUUCCACCUGGAUCGUGCUACAACUGUGGCAAGAUGGGUUAUUUCGUAAAUAAAUGCCCAAAGCUUGCUAAAGCCAAUCCAACCCACGGAUGAGCAGUUGGCUGGUUAGAAGAUGUUGCAGUCUUAUGCUUUUGUUUCUUCUAUUUUCUUUUACAUGUGUGUAUGGCAUUCCCUUAUGA
rnacentral:lncRNA from 1 species